rnacentral:rRNA from 1 species
GGGUGCAAUCAUACCAGCACUAAUGCACCGGAUCCCAUAAGAGCUCCACAGUUAAACGUGCUUGGGCGAGAAUGGUGUUAAGACGAGCUUUGUCACAGGACUUC